GUUUUUGCUCAGGACGAACGCUGGCGGCGUGCCUAACACAUGCAAGUCGAGCGAAGUUUUUAAAGAAGAUUUCUUCGGAAUGAAACUUUAAUUAUCUUAGCGGCGGACGGGUGAGUAACGCGUGAGAAACCUGCCUUUUACAAAGGGAUAGCCUCGGGAAACUGGGAUUAAUACCUUAUGACACUUAAAUGUCGCAUGAGAUUUAAGUCAAAGCGUAAAGCGGUAAAAGAUGGUCUCGCGUCCCAUUAGUUAGUUGGUGAGGUAAAGGCUCACCAAGACAGCGAUGGGUAGCCGGCCUGAGAGGGUGAACGGCCACACUGGAACUGAGACACGGUCCAGACUCCUACGGGAGGCAGCAGUGGGGAAUAUUGCACAAUGGAGGAAACUCUGAUGCAGCGACGCCGCGUGAACGAUGAAGGCUUUCGGGUCGUAAAGUUCUGUCCUAAGGGACGAUAAUGACGGUACCUAGA
rnacentral:rRNA from 1 species